UGCCCAGCAACUCUUAUCCCUACCUCCUCGUGGUACUGGCCGGGGUACGAGUAACCUUGGGGAAGAUCGGGUAACCAACCCCCGGUGGGAACUUUGGUCGUAUGCUGACAGGGAAGG
rfam:Aedes aegypti strain Liverpool supercont1.561 genomic scaffold, whole genome shotgun sequence.